ACCAUUAUCCUUAGAUCAAUCAGAGAAUUGCCUAUCACUUGUAAUGUACUGCCUAACGAUAAGGAUUGUAUAGGGUAGUUGAACUGAGCAGCAGUUUAGUCCAGUAAACUGCUGAGAGCUUAUAUGUGUACUGAUUUUUUUUAGAUCAAUACAAUAUAAUUUUAACUCAAAAAAAAAAAAAAAUGGUUCGUGUUCUUCUGUGUGCCAAGAUAAGUACAAA
rnacentral:lncRNA from 1 species